UCCACAUUUCAAUGUUAAGCUCUCUUACUAACUUGUUUUAGUUAAGUUUCUCAUUUUUUCUCCCUCUAAAAACUGUUAACGACACAGCACGUCUUUUGUUUCUUUUUAGUUUAAAGGGAAACAUAUCAUGUCUAGAACCAUUUAUUAGUGUCAGUGGUUAAGUUUCCUUCUCCUUUUGUGUGUUCUUUACGUGUUUCUUUGGGUGCUAGAUAAGCUAAAAAAUCUAAGCUCUUGGCUUUCUUGGGAACCAGAGUGUGAUUGAACUGGGUUUUGGUUCUUGGAUCCGUUUCUUCUGAUUCCUUUGGGAUACGACUUUGGCAAUAAGAGGCUUAUCUGAUAUGCUGGAGCUUUCCAAUUUAUAUCAAAUACUUGGAGACAGAAGAUGAAAACAAAGUUGUCUGCCAUUACUGUGCUUUGUUAGAUUGGAGGCUCAAGAUGGAUGAUACAUUUGCCAAUGCUCAAAAAGAUGGCCUGGGCAAAGAGGAUUCAUUGCAUAGCUUAAGCCAUGAUAGAGAAUUAUCUGGUGACCACGAGCUGGAUUGUUCCCAAUCAAAAUCUAGUAGGCUGACAAGAAGGGUAAAUUCACAUCAUUAUCUGCAUUUAAAAGCUAAGCAACUGCAACGCAGUAAAAGUUGCAUCAAAGAUUCGUUCCUUCGAAGCAUUCAUGUCUUAGACAAUUGGAUUCCAAAGCAUAUAAUAACAAUCGAUGAGAAAUAUCUUCGUCGUUGCCUAGAAUUCAUACAUGCCAGUACUUCUCAAGCGGCUCCAUGCAACGCCUCUAUGUACUUGGAUUGGGGAAACAUGGGUUUUUUCUCUGAUGGCCUGAAUAUAGCUAAAAUUGGGAAUCAAAAUACAUGUAGUUCGGCUGGGUUUGAUUUUGACUGUCCAUUGGCUGGGACCGGGAGUGUAGUCAUUAGCCCUGCAGAACAGUGGAUUGCUGGUUCAAUCAUGGGUAGCAAGAGCAUGGUGAAUAUACUGAAGAGUCCUUUAUUGCGCAGAUAUGGUGCAUAUGAUGGUGAUGCCAAUUUUGAGAAAGUGACUUCCAGCGAUGUUAAAGGAUCAAUAUGUUACGAUUUUAUGAACUCUCCUGGUGGAUUAAGUAGUUAUUCACCACACAAGCUCGAUAAUGGAGCACUAACUCCAGGAAGCCAUAAAUAUGAAUCAGAGAGUUUGCACAAAAGGUUUGUUUCUAUGUCGAGUACAAACUCUACUUGUUCUGAUCAGUCCUCUUCUUCUCUCCCUGCUGCUGUUACUCAGGGGACGCUCCAAUGCACGUGGAAGGGGGGAAACCCACAUUUCAUCUUCUCCUUAGACGAUCAGAAGGUGGUCUACGUGGCCAACUUUUAUAAUGUUAAUUCAGCAGAUGAUAAGGCUCUAGAGUACGUGUAUUUAUUCCAUUCUAGAAAAGGUGGCCAAAGGGAACAUAUGAUUCAUGAUAAAGAGUCUCGCCUUGUAGGUCAGAUGAACGUAUCAACUUCUUUUUCUCUUUGCCCAAACAAUUGUAGAAUCAUGGAGAGAGAAUUUGUUUUGUUCGGUUGUUAUGAAAAUUUAGUGGGAGAGUUGCAAAGUUCAAGCCAUGACCUCAGGAAGAACAAGGGAUUGUCAAGCAGGGUGGUGGAAGUGUUCAGGACCAACAACUCAUUCAAGAAGAGAACUAACUCCAGAUUUGAUGGAUCUGGUGCUAUACUGGAGAAUUCUUCUUGGGAGCCUUUCCAAGAGAGAGAAUACAACAUGGACGCACUUGGUGGGGCCAAUCUCUUAGAAAAUCAUCUUCCACCAAAUCUUGAAUUGGGGGCCAUUUUGGUGAAAAAUCAUCUUCCCGAGAAGCGUCCAGAGAAGACUGGAGGUUGGGGUUUGAAUUUUCUCAAGAACACGGCUGUAACGCAAGCCAAAAAUACAAUGAAAUCCUCAGUACUUUCUGCCUGUUGUGCCCGAGAUACCGGUGAUUGCUCAACAAGCAUUGAUAUUCUCAUUCCAGCUGGUCUUCAUGGAGGUCCAAGGACCAGAAAUGGUGGUCCUUCCAGUCUUAUUGAUAGAUGGAGAUCAGGUGGGUGCUGUGAUUGUGGUGGCUGGGACCUAGGGUGUCCGUUAACAGUACUCAAAAGCAGAUCAGCCAACAAGGAGUUUUCAUCCUCAGCAGAUAUGCAGGGGGAGUGCAAGUUAAUUAAUUUGUUCAUACAGGGUUCAGAGAAUGGUGCUCCCCCCUUGAGGAUGGUGAACGUCCAUGAUGGCAUGUAUUCUGUGCAUUUUCAGUCAACAUUGUCAGCUCUGCAGGCUUUCUCAAUAGCAGUGGCAUUUAUCCAUAGCCAAAAAGUCCUGCACUCCAACCAGAAUAUGUACAGGAGUUAAAGUAGGAAGAUUCAUGUCUCAGCUUGAUGUAGUUGUAACUCUCUUACUGUACCGCAGCGCUUCGUAAAUGGAGGGCAUGUGCUUCUUAAAUGGCUGAAGUCACGUUGCUCCACAAGAGCGCAAGUUAAGCAGUCAAAGUUAUCGAUUUUCAAGUGGAAAUAGCUGGGAUCUUUUUGUGGCUCAUGAUGCUUUAUAUUAUUGCAUGGUUCCCAAUCAUGAAUCUAAACCUGUCAAUGUGCGGAUUGCAGGCCUCUUUCAUUUGCACUUUGGAGUGUAUGUUUAUGCUGCUGGUUCAUCUUCAACCAGGCUUUGUUUUUAUGUAGCCUUGGGUUGGUUGACGUGGUCAGUUCUGCUUUGAAGGUUCAAUAUCUCAAGAUGUUUCCAGGGCAAACUUGAGGAGCUAAUGGCUGGGCUGAUCUCAAAAGCUGGUGGGAAGUGGCACAUGGUUAAAGCCUAAAGAUUCUAUUUCACUCGUUUAAUGAUCUUCUAUUAUUAUAUCUAUGCAGUGUACUCUUUUUUCUGAACGAUCUAGGCAGUGUAUCUCUGUGCAUAUUUUGUUGUUUCUCUGUGGACGCAAGUGAGACUUGUUUCUCUGCUUCUAUAACGUGGCAGGUGAUUUUUGACACGUUCCAUGGUCCUUCAGUGCCUCAAGUUGAAUUUAUUGGUUGUCCACUAAAGAACUGGACAAGUUCUUGCUUUUGUUGACCAUCACAUGCACACACAUAUUUGAGCGCGCGCGCACUUAAAAUACGAUACACCCUGCUGUGUUAUAAUUUAGGAAUAGUUUUUUCUAGCAACAUUUUUUCCUUUGCACAGACACCCUAUAAUGGACCACGGUGACAUUCUGUGUCUUUUAGCAUUGAAAGCAGCUCCCCUGACCUUUUCAUCUCCCCUUGGUAGCUUCUGGAAAAGAAGGUAGCGCUUGGAACUAGGAAAGAAAGUAGUAGGUAGGAGAUUUUGGAGCUGCUUAUCCAUUAAUUAACCAUUUUAACUGUUAUGCUUAACAUGAGUUGACUUCUUUCCUCUCUCUCUUUUUUUUCAUUUGUUUCAUACACCAUUAUAGAUAAACUGCACAACAUUAUAUGAUAAAUAACUUGAAAUUGUUCCAUGAAGCUGAGUUGAUCAUGAGUGAGCUGUGCACAAGCGAACACACAUUGGUUACUGGAACAAUGGAACUGUUUGAGGGGAAAUUACACUGCAAAUCUUCACAAUCAAGGCUCCUUCUGGGCAGUUGGCAUUGAAACAGGGAAAAUAAACCUAUUGUGAUCAGGCUUCCUCAAAAUUGAUGUCCAUUGUCUCAGGCACAGAACCAUCGUGUAUGCAAUAUUGUCAUGACAUUGCAUGCAUCUAAGCUUGCUAUAAUCAUAUCUCAUAUGGUCCUGGCCUCUUGCUAGAGUUUGUCGGAGAAGAAGGGAAACGAUCAUAUCCAAAGGCAGAGAACUGCUACAUAUUAUAUUUGCAAGUGUCUUUUAUCGGUCGUGGUAAAAUGGCCCCAGAAAUUGCUGUCUAGAAUUUAGGUUCAAGUAUUCGAAAUUGCUACCAGCGAGCAUUGCUCGGUCACUGUGUGGAGUUCAAGUCCGUGUUCCUGCACAGCUUGCUAGAUCAUCCAUUCCGCUGCGUGCAUCUUAUGACUAGUUAAAACACAAAUCAUUUAAAGCUAGAUCAUUCUUUCCACAGCAUGAGCUAUAGAUUGACCAAUCCAUUUUCCAUCGGUUUUUGCUGGUCCUUGAGUGAUUGCCCCUGCAUCUGACAAGAUGUAUUUGUGUCUUCCAAGAUCAUGCCGCCUCAGGCUAAACAAUGUUAUACAAAUCAUAAAGAAGGUUCCGAGUAUUCGAAUGCUGGGCAUGUCAAGGCAUUGGGGUCAAAUUUCAUGUAUUGAAAGAAAAAGAGAAAGGACUUGUGAUCUACUAGGCUUUUCCAGUCAUCUUCGUAGUUCUCACGUGUAUGCAAGUUUCGUGUUAGAGGCUUUAGGUCCACCUUUUCACCUGGUCUCGUCGUCUUCCCAUUACUCUUCAACUCUACGCUCUAUCUAUUAGAGAUGAUAAUUUGUAUCUGCUUUUUGGGUAUUUUUAUAUCUAUAUUUUAUUUAUUAUUCAUUGAAUAAAAAAUUUAGAUAUUUAUAAAUUA